AGGUUAACCGUAUAGGGGAGCCGUAGAGAAAUCGAGUCUUAAUAGGGCGUUUAGUUGCUGGGUAUAGACCCGAAACCAGGCGAUCUAUCCAUGAGCAGGUUGAAGGUUGGGUAACACUAACUGGAGGACCGAACCCACUGUCGUUGAAAAGCCAGGGGAUGACUUGUGGAUAGGGGUGAAAGGCUAAUCAAGCCUGGUGAUAGCUGGUUCUCCCCGAAAGCUAUUUAGGUAGCGCCUCGGACGAAUACCAUAGGGGGUAGAGCACUGUUUCGGCUAGGGGGUCAUCCCGACUUACCAAACCGAUGCAAACUCCGAAUACCUAUGAGUACUAUCCGGGAGACAGACUGCGGGUGCUAACGUCCGUAGUCAAGAGGAAAACAAUCCAGACCGCCAGCUAAGGCCCCAAAAUCAUAGUUAAGUGGGAAACGAUGUGGGAAGGCAUAGACAGCUAGGAGGUUGGCUUAGAAGCAGCCACCCUUUAAAGAAAGCGUAAUAGCUCACUAGUCGAGUCGGCCUGCGCGGAAGAUGUAACGGGGCUAAAACUAUGUGCCGAAGCUGCGGAUUUACUUGUAGUGGUAGGGGAGCGUUCUGUAAGCCGAUGAAGGUGUAUUGAGAAGUAUGCUGGAGGUAUCAGAAGUGCGAAUGCUGACGUGAGUAACGACAAAACGGGUGAAAAACCCGUUCGCCGAAAGACCAAGGGUUCCAGUCCAACGUUAAUCGGGGCUGGGUGAGUCGACCCCUAAGGCGAGGCCGAAAGGCGUAGUCGAUGGGAAAAUGGUUAAUAUUCCAUUACUUCUGUGUAAUGCGAUGAGAGGACGGAGAAGGCUAAAUCAGCCUGGCGUUGGUUGUCCAGGUGAAAGGAUGUAGGCAUGUAUCUUAGGCAAAUCCGGGGUACUCUAUGCUGAGAUCUGAUAGCAAGCUGUACUUGUACAGCGAAGUGGUUGAUGCCAUGCUUCCAGGAAAAGUCUCUAAGCUUCAGUUACACAGGAAUCGUACCCGAAACCGACACAGGUGGUCAGGUCGAGUAGACCAAGGCGCUUGAGAGAACUCUGCUGAAGGAACUAGGCAAAAUGGUACCGUAACUUCGGGAGAAGGUACGCUGUUGUUGGUGAUGGAACUCGCUUCCUGAGCUGACGACAGCCGCAGAAACCAGGCCGCUGCAACUGUUUAUUAAAAACAUAGCACUCUGCAAACACGAAAGUGGACGUAUAGGGUGUGAUGCCUGCCCGGUGCUGGAAGGUUAAUUGAUGGGGUUAGCGUAAGCGAAGCUCUUGAUCGAAGCCCCAGUAAACGGCGGCCGUAACUAUAACGGUCCUAAGGUAGCGAAAUUCCUUGUCGGGUAAGUUCCGACCUGCACGAAUGGCAUAAUGAUGGCGGCGCUGUCUCCAGCAGAGGCUCAGUGAAAUCGAAAUCGCUGUGAAGAUGCAGUGUACCCGCGGCUAGACGGAAAGACCCCGUGAACCUUUACUGCAGCUUGACACUGAACUUUGACCUUACUUGUGUAGGAUAGGUGGGAGGCUUUGAAGCUGGAACGCUAGUUCCAGUGGAGCCGUCCUUGAAAUACCACCCUGGUAAUGUUGAGGUUCUAACUCUGUCCCGUGAUCCGGGACGAGGACCGUGUCUGGUGGGUAGUUUGACUGGGGCGGUCUCCUCCUAAAGAGUAACGGAGGAGUACGAAGGUGCGCUCAGCGUGGUCGGAAAUCACGCGUAGAGUAUAAAGGCAAAAGCGCGCUUAACUGCGAGACCCACAAGUCGAGCAGGUACGAAAGUAGGUCUUAGUGAUCCGGUGGUUCUGUAUGGAAGGGCCAUCGCUCAACGGAUAAAAGGUACUCUGGGGAUAACAGGCUGAUACCGCCCAAGAGUUCAUAUCGACGGCGGUGUUUGGCACCUCGAUGUCGGCUCAUCUCAUCCUGGGGCUGAAGCAGGUCCCAAGGGUAUGGCUGUUCGCCAUUUAAAGAGGUACGCGAGCUGGGUUUAGAACGUCGUGAGACAGUUCGGUCCCUAUCUACCGUGGGCGCUGGAAAUUUGAGAGGAUCUGCUCCUAGUACGAGAGGACCAGAGUGGACGAACCUCUGGUGUACCGGUUGUGACGCCAGUCGCAUCGCCGGGUAGCUAUGUUCGGAAGGGAUAACCGCUGAAAGCAUCUAAGCGGGAAGCCUACCUCAAGAUAAGAUUUCCCUAGGACUUUAUGUCCUCUAAAGAGCCGUUCGAGACUAGGACGUUGAUAGGUUGGAUGUGGAAGCAUAGUGAUAUGUGAAGCUGACCAAUACUAAUUGCUCGUGAGGCUUGACUAUACAACACCCAAGCAGUUG
rnacentral:rRNA from 1 species